AAGAAAAAAAUAAAUAAAACCGAAGUCCUUGGUGGUGCAAUUAACCCGUGGCUGAGUGGAAGAAGAGCAUCGAUAAUGAGCGGGAGCGCCUUCAACGCGUUUAAGGCUAGGGUUCCGGUGGCCUGGAGCCCUCGGCUGUUCAUAACCCUAGUCCGUGGCCUCCCUGGCACACGCAAGCUCCACCGCAGAACUCUUGCUGCCAUGCGUCUCCGCCGCUGCAACCGCACCGUCAUUCACCGCACUACCCCUUCACUCCUCGGAAUGCUCAACCAAGUGAAGAGACUGGUGGUGGUGGAGACAGAGGAGAUGCACAAUGCGAGGAAGCAAGAGGAAAAGGAACGCACGGCUUUUCGUCCUCCCAUUGUCGUCAAGCACGCUCCUCCUACUUCUUCAUCUUCUUUGGCGGAGUAGCUGAGCAAAUUGCAGGUCAACUGAUAGGCUGCAACAUCUCAUCAAGUGGUUCACUAACUCGAGGAAUUGCUCGUUGGAUGAAUUGCUGGACAAAUUGGGUGAGCUAAUAGUUUUGUAAGAGUUCCUUGUCCUUCUUGAAGCCUGCUCUCUAUUGUUGGACAAUCUUAUCUGCAUUGGCAAUUAGAAGAAUCAUUGAUCAUGAUUCAAUUCUUCUUAUAGUGUAAAUUACUUUUUAA